rnacentral:rRNA from 1 species
AUUAUGGCUCAGGACGAACGCGGGCGGCGUGCUUAACACAUGCAAGUCACGGGGGCCCGCAAGGGUAACCGGCGAACGGGUGCGUAACACGUGAGCAAGUUUCCGAUUAGUGGGGGAUAGCCGGCCCAACGGCCGGGUAAUACCGCAUACGCUCCUUAGGCGGCAUCGUCUGAGGAGGAAACCUCCGGGGCUAAUCGAGGCGCUCGCGGCCUAUCAGCUAGUUGGCGGGGUAACGGCCCACCAAGGCGAUGACGGGUAGCUGGUCUGAGAGGAUGGCCAGCCACAUUGGGACUGCGACACGGCCCAGACUCCUACGGGAGGCAGCAGUGGGGAAUAUUGCGCAAUGGACGAAAGUCUGACGCAGCGACGCCGCGUGUGGGAUGAAGCUCUUCGGGGUGUAAACCACUGUUGCCCGGGACGAACCUCCCCUUUCGAGGGGACUGACGGUACCGGGUGAGGAAGCACCGGCUAACUCUGUGCCAGCAGCCGCGGUAAUACAGAGGGUGCGAGCGUUGUCCGGAAUCACUGGGCGUAAAGGGCGCGUAGGUGGCUUGGUAAGCGUGUGGUGAAAGUCCGGGGCUCAACCCCGGAUCUGCCGUGCGAACUGCUGAGCUUGAGCAUUGUAGAGGCAGGUGGAAUUCCGGGUGUAGCGGUGGAAUGCGUAGAGAUCCGGAAGAACACCAGUGGCGAAGGCGGCCUGCUGGGCAAUAGCUGACACUGAGGCGCGACAGCGUGGGGAGCAAACAGGAUUAGAUACCCUGGUAGUCCACGCCGUAAACGAUGGGUACUAGGUGUCUGGGGGAGCGACCCCCUGGGUGCCGGCUAACGCAUGAAGUACCCCGCCUGGGGAGUACGACCGCAAGGUUGAA